GACGAACGCUGGCGGCGUGCUUAACACAUGCAAGUCGAACGGAAAGGCCCUGCUUUUGUGGGGUGCUCGAGUGGCGAACGGGUGAGUAACACGUGAGUAACCUGCCCUUGACUUUGGGAUAACUUCAGGAAACUGGGGCUAAUACCGGAUAGGAGCUCCUGCUGCAUGGUGGGGGUUGGAAAGUUUCGGCGGUUGGGGAUGGACUCGCGGCUUAUCAGCUUGUUGGUGGGGUAGUGGCUUACCAAGGCUUUGACGGGUAGCCGGCCUGAGAGGGUGACCGGCACAAUGGGACUGGGGAACCGGCCAGGACUCCACCGGGGGCAAGAGGGGGGGAUUUUGCAACAUGGGGCGAAGCCUGGCUGAGGAACCGCCGCGUGGGGAAUGAGGCCUUCGGGUUGUAAACCGCUUUCGCCUGUGACGAAGCGUGAGUGACGGUAAUGGGUAAAGAAGCACCGGCUAACUACGUG
rnacentral:rRNA from 1 species